rnacentral:lncRNA from 1 species
GUUCGAAUAGAUUUCACGAGUCUCUGUUCCCAUGCCACCAAACAACAAUUGUACAUCCAGGCAUGGGGAAGGAAGGGUGGUCCAUUAUGGAUUAGAUGGGCUGUGUUCUAGAACGUUCUUGCUUUCUGUUUUGUCAUCUUCUUCGGAAGCCAUCCUCAGCUAUAGGGUUGCCCCACUUCACCCCCGCGGUCGCCAUAGCUUCACCCCAGUUUUGAGUGGCGCAUGUCCUCGGUUUUCAUGGUGUGUGAGUGGCUGCCGUUUGUUCGCCUCCGACCAGUCGGCCCCACUCCCUUUCUGAGCCUCGAGGUGUCCUCUACUGUCUUCCUUUCAGCCCAGCUUUAAGAACCAAGGAACGAGUUCCAAACAUCUCCCUUCCACGCCGAAGGCUGGAGUUGCUUCUGGCAGCGUGUGUGACCGGCUUUUGCCAAAACCGGCGCCAGAUACUGCUUUUCCACUCCGGGCUUUGCCAAGGCUCUCUCCCAACCCGUCGGUCAGUGGCAUACAGACUUUCCCCUUCAGCGCCCCAUCAAUCACGUCUCUUCUGGAGGAGCCGGCUACUCGUCAGGCGGGAUCAGGGCCUGCCAGAGAACCUUCGGACGCUCUGACGGCUAGUAGGCUUAAAUCCUGAUGGUAGCUUUUGGCCGGCAGCAGGGCAGGGAAAGCAGGACCAAACACCAAGUGUCCAGGGCUGAAUCUCACGUCUGGCAAGUCCUACGCAGGAGUAAUCCAACGGGUCAUGGACUUGGCCUAGGGAUAAGCCAUUAUGGACAGCCGGCUGCUUUCACGUCAUGCCGGUUGUUUUGAUAAGAUGAAAAAGAAUUUAGAAGCAAACUCUGAUGGAGAAAGCCUUAAAAAAGUGAGGAUGCUGGAAUCUCCAGAAAGUACCUGGGGGAGUCAUUUGGUGCUCUUUCCUCUGCAUGGGAUCACACCUGUAUUUUAUAUGAUGCUCGGCGUAUGUCAAACAAAUGUUUUAAAUCACCCUGCCUCUAGAAGUAAACUGUGAAGGAAUUACCCCACUUUCCUCUUCUCUGUGAGAGUGCCUUUUUAGAAAAGGCUGAAUCGGUUCCAUAUUAUUUUAAACAUCUAUCAGGCACAUAAAUGUUUAGCUGGACUGAAGUACUGCUGGAAGUAAAUGAAGAAUAAAUUACUAUCCUUCUCUCUGCUUGGUCA